rnacentral:lncRNA from 1 species
AAUGAAAGACUCAAACACAAGUAUCCUAGGCUCUAUUCUAUAUCUAAAAGUAAAAUGAAAACAGUACAACAGGUAAGAAUUUGGGGCCAAGGAUGGGUGGAGUGAAAUCUUCAAUGGAGAAGGCAUACAUUUGAAAGGAAAAGGGAACAACUAUCCCAACUUCUAAAUGAGAUUAACAAUGUUCAACUUCUAAGGGACUCUCAAGAUCUGUGGCAAUGGCAAGCUGAUCAGGGUGGGGCUUACACAGUGAAGUCAUCAUAUUCUGUUUUACAACAAUGUAGCAGUUAUGAAAACUGCCUGCUUUGAAUACCCUUUGGUUUAUUAAUACACUGCCUAAUGCACUUACUUUACAGCUUGGAUAAUCUUGUUGGGUAAAGUACCAAUAAGGGUGAAUUUGGUAAGUAGGGGUGUUGUCCUUCCUUCCACAGCUUGCCCACUCUGUAG